CCUCUCAUUACAAGCCAGAGACAAAAGCUAGCUCUUCUUUCUGCCUUCACUAUUCAGUAUUCUUCAUAUCAAGUGUUCAGAAUGAAGUUUGGUGCUCAGUUUCUUGGGCUGAUAGUGCUCUGGAUUCCUGGAGCAACUGGGGAUAUUGUGAUGACUCAAGCUCCACUCUCUGUAUCUGUCACUCCUGGAGAGUCAGCUUCCAUCUCCUGCAGAUCUAGUAAGAGUCUGCUAAGUAGUAAGGGCAUCACUUCCUUGUAUUGGUACCUUCAGAGGCCAGGAAAGUCUCCUCAGCUCCUGAUAUAUCGGAUGUCCAACCUUGCCUCAGGAGUUCCAGACAGGUUUAGUGGCAGUGGGUCAGAAACCGAUUUUACACUGAAAAUCAGUAGGGUGGAGGCUGAGGAUGUUGGUGUUUAUUACUGUGGACAUCGUCUAGAAUAUCCUCCCACAGUGUUACAGCCUUGAACAAAAACACCAUGCUUGAGGUGACAUAACUGCCUCAUAAACUGCUUGUAUCAGCUGUAGCAUGGUAUAACUGGCGUGACAAAGUGAACAUAUAUUUUAAGGAGACACUUAUUUACCUCUGACUCAGCUAUUGACACAAUGGACCUUGGAAAUUCGAACUUCCAUGAGAGUUUCGUGCUCUGAGGAGCAGAAGCAGUAACUUCUCUGCGGGGACAAGAUUUCAUAGUGUCUUAUCUGACAAAGUUCAGUCAGUUAUAUCAAUGAUAGGUAGGACCAAACCUUGAACAGCACUUCUACAGUGUUCAUCUCUUUGAAUUUCCGUUUCAUAUUUAAUCUCAUUUCAGAACUACAUGAGACUCAGAUAGUUAUUUAAAUGUAUUUGUUUCAUUGGUCAAUUUUAUUUUUCUGGUUUUUAAUUCCAGUUUGGAUUACUGAGGGCAGGUUGCUAGUCUAGACAUGGGACAUAAUGUGUAUAUUAUGGAGAUUCUUUGAGACUUUAUAAAAGGUAGAUGUUGAAAGAUCCAAGAUAAUGAGUAGUUGAUUAAUUGCACAGAGAGAAAAAGAGGGAGAGAGAGAGAGAGAGAGAGAGAGAGAGAGAGAGAGAGAGAGAGAGAGAGAAAG